GCACUCGGGAGGUAGAGGCAGGCCGU
rnacentral:piRNA from 1 species